GUUUAUUUAUUUUAGUGUUUUUAAAUUAUUUUUGUUUUGUUUUAUUUUUUUAUUUUUACUCUUUUUUUUUUUUUUUUUUUUUUUUUUACAUUUGGGUCUUACGGGGUUAAUUGGAUCAUUCAGUCUCUUCUCUUCCUGCUGCUCCAGCAGACCACUCCAUGCACAGAACCCCAGAAGGUCCUCAGAAGUCCUCCCUGAACCCAGAAGACCUCAGUUCUCUGAGCAGGUGGAUUCUGUUCUGACCUUCUAGACAGUGUUGGUGUCAACGGUCCAGUUUAUGGUUUAAAUUAACACCUGGAACCUGCAGGAGUCACAGUCUCAGUGUUCCCAAUGUUCUCAAUGGACCUCCUGAGGAGCAUUUAGCUGAAGAUCUGUAUCUGUGGAGACAUUAGAGGCCAGGAGGAGGAGGAGGAGGAGGAGGAGGAGGAGAGGCUUCAGGCUGCAGAAGGUUAAUGAAGGCAGAGCAGCUGGGAUUAUCGCCCUGAAUAGAGGCGGGGAUAAACGGAGUAAAUGCUGCCGGUCAACGAGGAUCAGACAGACUCAGAGGGAAGAAGGAGGAGGAGGAGAAGAAGAAGGAGAAGAAGUCUUCUUAGGAGACCAGCAGAUUCAACUGGAUUCUGAUGUUUCUUCCUCAGACGCUUUCAUCAGGACAGCUUUUAUUCUGAAAAUAUCACCGAUGAAGAGAAGGAGAGGAGGCACACGGUGGAAAAUGACUCAUUUUAACCACCGAACAAUUUAUUUCAGCACAUUUUAUGGGUUUAUAUAUUUAUUUAUUUAUUCUUCUUUUAUUAUUUACUUAUUUGUUAUUCUUUUAUUAUUUACUUAUCACUUUUAUUAAUUUAUUAUUAAUUUAUUAUUAUUUGUUAUUUCUCUUAUUUCAUUAUUUCAUUAUUUAUUUAUUUAUUUAUUAUUUCCAAAUGUUCACAGUAAUGUUAAGUUACAGAUGAUAGCUAAUUAAUUUACAGAAAAAUUUUAAUUUUUUUUUACAAUGUUAGACUGUUAAAAUUGGGUUAUUUUUGUAUAUAUUUAAUUUUAUUAUUUUUUGUUAAAUGUGUUGGAACAGGACAGUUUUCCACAAUUUUUCUGUGGAUUUGAAAUUUUUUUAAAUGUAUAUCAAGGAGUAAAAAUUUGUAAAUAAUUUUAUUUAACAAG
ensembl:lncRNA